rnacentral:lncRNA from 1 species
AUAUAUAUAUGUAUAAGAACAAAGUCGUCUUACCGCUAGUACGCCUCAUUCACGAAGCCGGUCUAUAAGGUGGGUAUAAGGUUGUUGCCUAUAAAAUGGUGACUUAAUGGGUGUCCACUCUCACCCACCGCUUGCUUGACUGGUGGAGGGUCGUUAGCCGAACGGGUAAGACAAGGACUUAUAAAUUCUCAUUCAAAGUAUGAUGAAUAUUAUAAAGUAACUAAAUGUUUUAUUAAAUUCCCAAUCUUAGUUACUUUAGGAAAAAUGUGAAUAAGGUGCUAAUCCAUGAAAUUACACUUUACACUUUGAUUGAGUCGUUGGUGGAGCGUGUGUGGUUAACCGGCACACUAACUUGGACUUAACAAGGUAGGUAAAGGGUGACUUAAAGGUUUAUUAUAGUAUCGAUGGAGCGUGUGUGGUUUACCGGCACAUCGAUUGAGUGAUAAACUUUAAAGGGUACCAAGUGAUUUGCAUGGUUACUUCACACCUCGUUUUGUGAUCCUCGGCAUCCCAGUCACAAAACCUGGAGGGCACAUUCGACAUUGAAACAUGCCUUUGAAAAGUUCAUUGAAUCUCAAAGAAUCUAGGAAUUUCUAAGAACCAAUCAAAGCCUAAUACUUAAAUAUUUCGGUUUUCGUGGUGGAAAUUGGUGAAUCGUCAUUCACCUACCUUUCAAAUAUGGUAUAGCUUAGAUUACGGCAUACCUCUUCUAAGUUAUAUUAUAUUGUGAUUGGAUCCUAGCCUUAAUAUUACAUUUGGGUGUUUUAUUAAGGACUCUCUUAUAUCUAAACUAAUCUUCGCGGUUACAACCGAUGUGGAUGCAACGGCAACUGUCUCUGCUAGAGCUGCAUAUCGCUCAUCAAAGUACUCAACCAUCAUGGUCUUAAUCAACCCAAACAUCUCUAGUAGCUGGGCUCGGAACACCUCAGUAACCUCGUCGUGCAGAAUCUCCCGGAUCCUGGCAUCCAACUCCUCUAUCCCUAUCUGUACCACAGGCUCAGGUGCUAUCGACACCUCUGACCCUCCGUCUCCCAAUCUUGACCCUGAUCCGGAUCCCGACCCUGAUUCGGACCCAAUAGCAAAACGUGUCAUCACCACCAUACUAAAAAGAAUAAAGUCAAGACAUCAGAUAAACAACAUAAUAUCGGGAGACCAAUUCCCACAACCCUAGGGGUUGUGACUUCCUUGCUACGCGUAUGGGUCCUGUGCUUUUAGUAGUACGGGCCCAUACUACCUUCCACACCUACCCAUAUUUGUCUCAAGUAUCACCACAACACCCUAAUACGAUCAUUAACAUAAUAUGCGCUCAACCCUCACUCCUAGGGGAACCUCGCCUAUCUCACAACUAAUCUCACUGCUCCUCGCAACUUACAUAUCAUUGAAACUUCCAUCAACCCCUGCAGUGCUAGUGCAUGCCAUUCGAACAUAACACUAGACCCAAUAGACUUUCGAAUAUCCGGUCCUAUCUGUAGACUGAACCAAACAUUCUCAGGCUAUAAGAUCUUGAUUACGCACAGUCGUGAUGCAUACACUAACAACUACAAUAAUGAUGUCAAUUCCAUAUACAAGAAACCCUAGGCUAGUUGGCAUCAUAUAAUUAGGAAAAUCUUAUCAUGCGAUUCCUGAAGACUUCUAUCCUAGCACUAGCAUGUUGUUUCGUCAUAUCUAUUAUCAAAUAACUGUAUGGUAUUUUGGGGUUUACUUACAGGCUCUGGUUGAUCGUACCCUCUGCAUCCUCCAUCCUUUAUUUUGAAAACCAUUUUAGUAUUUAUUUCAAAAAUUCCCUUGAUUUGAGACUGGAUUCACACAAGUUUUCCUCCAAUUCACUCAAACCAAGGCUCUAAUACCAACUUGUAACAUCCAAAAAUUUACGCCAAAUUUAAACUUUUACAAUCAUAAAUAAAAACCAAAUAGUAAUUGUUUACAAAAUGUUUUCAAAUCAUUAUUAAUCAGAGUGUCGCAAUAAAUAGAUCAAAAGGAUGAGGAGCGGUACGGUCACGCCUUCACCUUGCCAUGAUCUCCUGAAGUACCUGAAACAAUAAACUGAAAACUGUAAGCCCGAGGGCUUAGUGAGCUACCCCUAAAAUACCAAUACCACACUGAUAAUACCAUGUCAGUAACAAACAAUCAAAUAACAUGCAUACUGGACCAUCGGCCUGACUGGACCGCCCUGCAGGUGCUAUAAUCUAUAUGAUCAUAUCCCAAGCCUUGGGCAUGACUGGUCCGGCACGUGGGCCUACAGUCUCCCCGAACCGCUCAUAGCAUAUGUUGGCCUUCAGCACAAAGGAGGACCGCCUCAACCAAACCAACAAGCAAUAACCAUGUGCGCAUAACUAUCAUAUACUGGCACAUACAAACAUCAAACAUACCUAUCUCACUGAUCAUCAAUCAUAUAAAUCUCUCAUAACUAGAGCACUGACCUGGCAGGUCACUAACAAACCAAUCCCUAUGAAUCAUAAGAGCGUAAAAUACUAUCUAUCCUGAUUUCGAUCUAACAGAUCAUAACCACAUGUAGCAUACCAUAACAAUAACAACUAAAGGGCCAGCCUUGGUGUCGUAGACCCUAUCGAUAUAGUGAGGAUAACUCACCUUGCAGAUCUCGACUCGAUAGAUAGACUCUAACUCUCGGCUCACUUCCCAAAGACCCCACCACCUAUUACCAUAAUACGAAUGUACCCAUAAGUCCUUAACUUUACAAGGUACUCCAUAAACCAACUAGUCAUCCCCUGGUCAAAGUCAAAGUCCUCAGUCAAGGUCAACAGUCCAUGUUGACCUUACUCGCCGAGUACCCUUGGCUACUCGCCGAGUUCCUUGGCGUACUUGCCCACUUGCCGAGUCAACGGAGUGACUCAUCGAGUUCCUAUGGUUUAUGAUCGAACUCCAAGGCCAUCGUCGGGUUUCCUUCUUGCAACUCGAUGGUUACACAUGCAUAUAUAAGUUGGGGAAACUUCAUCCGAAUCACCGAGUUGUUCAUACAACUCGUCGAGUCUAUUGCAAUAUUCAACGGACUCGCCGAGUUGUUCUUCCAACUCGUCGAGUUCAAGCCUAUCUUCAUAUGAUUCGCCAAGUCGACCAUGCGAAUCCGCGAGUCCCUUCAGUCCUUUUUCCAUACAGACUCAUUUAGGGUCAUGCAACAGCUCCAAACUACAAAUCCAAGCUUCUCAGACAUGCUUUUCACGUAAAGUUGCAAACUUUACGUGCAUGCAUAGCUAUAAGGGCUCUAAAUGUCCAAUCCAAGCCCAUAAUGGGGUUUCCUACCCAGGGGAGGUUUCAUUCACGUCCAAACCAGAAACUUUAUGACUCUAGGACAUAAGAAGCGUCCAGAUCUGAAGUUACAACUUCAUAUCUAGCUCAUAUAUCAUAAUAUCACCUCAUUCAACCAUAAAAACCCUAGAUCUCCACCAUAUGAGGUCUAGAAGGAAAGGAGGUAAAGAUGACGACUUGAUACCUUCAAUGGAUGCUAAGUGAGGUAGAUCUCGGAUUACCACACCUUCCUUGCUCCUAUCCUCUUGCUCUCCAAGUUCUUCCUCUCCAAAAACCUUCUUUCCAAGCUUACAACACACAAGAAUGAAGCACCACACGAACUAGGGUUUCUAUGAGCUCUCAAGGACUGCAAACAGGCCAAAUGAGGCUUAUGCUUCGUUAAAUAGAGUGUAGAACCCCGUGAUUUAGGGUUUCAUCUGCCAGCUCCUACUUGUCGAGUCCCUUUAUGGACUCGCCGAGUAGGUCACUAAACACGCGAUCCCUGCUCGUUGCUACUCGAUGAGUAGGGCAACCAUCUCGUCGAGUAGGACUUAUAACCAAAGAAAUUAUUAUUUAAUUUAAUACCUUAGAAUCGGGGCGUUACAACAUGUAUGGUUAACCGGCACACUAACAUGGACUUGUGAGAAAUGGCAAAAGUCUAAACCAUUGAGACUAUGAUUACGACAUCCCUUUUCAAUGUUCUAAAUACGUUUAGACACACAUGUGUGCUAUCUAAGGAAAGGUGUAUGAUUUUGAUAAAGUUUUAUCAAAGCAUCUCGUAUCAGAAAUAUGAACUUUGGUAAAAAGGUCAAUAAAAUAUUGAUUUCUAGAAUUCCAGUAGAUUUUUGGAUACAUGUCAAAGCUAGUUAGAGCAUAAGUUUCAUGCUAUUAAGCAUCAUGCAAGUGGGAGCAUAAUAAUUAUAAUAAGUGUUACAAGUUAGCAAUGUUAAUUAUAGAAAAACAAAAGGUUUCAAUUGGGAAAAAGUUGUCUUGCUAAAAUUAAGGGAGAGGAAAAUAUCGUUCACUUCAAUUCUAAAAUCAUAGACUGAGGUUUUAAUCAUAUUUAGUCAAGGAUAUAUAUAUAUAUAUAUAUAUAUAUAUAUAUAUAUANNNNNNNNNNNNNNUAUAUAUAUAUAUAUAUGAAUUUCAUGUUGGAAUGGCUCAACAUAAGGAAAUUCUAUAUAUGGGUCCAUUAUUUGUCUUCUAAAAUUCGAUUAUGAUUACGGCAUCCCUUUUCAUAAUCAUAAUUAUGAGAACUUGGCAAAUAGAAAUAUUGUACCAAAAGGACUGGUCUAGUAUCAUGUUUUAUGUGAGACAUCAUGAAUCGUGUCCCAUAUGCUUCGGAUAUAGGAUUGAUUGCAUGUGCUAUAAUAUUCAUCCUUUCCAAAAUUUUCCAAAUUCCUGGGGCAUUAAGAUGGGAAAAGGUCUAGAAUUGGAUAUGACUAAAAUGAUUAAGCAAUUGUCGAGGACAAUCUAAGGUUUACCAAAGAUUGGUUUCUCAAGGACAGUUGGAAGUAUAAUGUUAAUUUUGGAAGGACCAUAUUGACACACUCUGAAAAGAGGCAACUCUUGGUCAGAAGUAAUAGUCAAAAUGGGAAUAUGGAAAUAUUUUCAUAGGUGGAAGUUUUUCAUUAAAUCUGUGUAAGAUUAGGAAACUUAAUGCAUGAAGGAUGUUCCAAGCAGUGUACUUUGAAUUUGAGACUUCAGUUCCAUGGAAGGAUCUCUAUUGGAAUACUCUAUAAUGUCUGUUGACAAGUCUUUGUGACUUUGUGCAUAAUCAUUAUAAUAGGACCAAUGCAUAUAAGUUUAGAAUCUAGCAGAUUUAGGUAAAUGGCAUGAAUUUGGAACUCUUGCAUUUGCGGUAAGGAUUUGAGACUAUGAAAUGAGAAACAUUGGAAUUAUGUUCAAUCGAUCUAUUUCACAAAGUAAAGAUCAUAGAAAAAAUUAAUAUGCACACUUGGUGUAUGGCAUAACUAAUGUUUAGACAAACAUAAUGUGCAUACUUGGAGUAUGGCAUGACUAGUGUUUAGAAAAACAUAGUGUACAUGCUUGGAGCAUUGGACAACUAUUGUUUUAAUUCAAGUAUAAAGUUGAUAGUUUGAAACAGUAUGCAAUGAAUGAUGGGUAAUCAAUAUGGUGAUAAAUAAAAGAUGUGUUAUUUAUAUUCAUAAGUUCUAAGACCAUAUUGGAUUCGAUUAUUCUUGUGGUUGACUUUACAUGUUUUGACUUCCAGAAUAACUUGGUCGUUCUUCCUGAAGACUAAGUUAUUCAAACAAUCCUGUAGCACCUGGUUCCUGGUAUGUGAACUUUAUCUAAGUGUUUUGCAUUUUUAGCCUUGGCCUCGGCGAGUUGUAGGCCCGACUCGCCGAGUAGAACGGCAUAUGGAACACGUUUAAGUUGGCGACUCGGCGAGUCCAUAUUCUGGACUUGGCGAGUCCCUGUUUUCUGAUGAAACCCUAAAUUCCAAGGGUUUUCACCCUAUUUAAACCAACCUUAUGCGCCCCAACCUCGCCCCCUUCACCCUCAUAGCUCCCUUUAUCGUCCAACCCUUAUUCCUUGUGAGAUUGAAGUGUUUUGGUGUGUUUCUUGAAGAUUUUGAGAGAAAAGAAGAGUAGAUCAAGAAGAGAAGAAGGAGGCCAGACAUCUUGGUGUUAUUUCAAGUGCUUCCCUUGAGGUAUAACUCAGUUUCCCUCUGGUUCUAUGCUUAUAGUCCCUUAUAGCUCCAUUAAAGUCCUUCAUGAGCCAUUUCCAAGAUUGGGUAUGAUUUAGGAUCUAUAAUAAGUUGAUUAACCUUUAGAUCUAGGCAUGAUUAAGCUCCAGGAGCUCGGAUCUAUUUCCUUUAUGGAGCCAUAUUGCAUGAAAGCCCUAGAUUUACUCUUUUAGUGCAUUUUGAGCCCUAAAACCUUCAUUGGUGUUUAUUUACACGUAAAGUUGGAAACUUUACGUGUUAAUAAAGCCCUAGAAACCCAGAUCUAUGUAUGGCAUGAGCUGGAUUCAAGCAAAAUCGAGUAUAUAGUAUUUGCAUGUGAAAGACUCAUCGAGUCGUUCAUCGGACUCGGCGAGUCGAGUCGCGAGUCCCCGAGUUUUCCCCUUUUUGUGUUUGUGGAGUGGAAUAGUGAGUCAUGGGGUGUGACUCAGUGAGUCGGAAGCCAGACUCACCCAUGAAGGAACUCGGCGAGUCAAUGCCUUGACUCGGUGAGUUCAAGGCAAUCUUCUUGCCUCAAGAACAGACUCGGCGAGUUGUUCAUACAACUCGGCGAGUCUCAGCAUAGCAUGUUCUUCGGAUGAAGAUGAACUCGACGAGUUGUUCAUACAACUCGGUGAGUAGGAUGAAGGACUAUUGGACCUUGGGUUAGAAGGAAAACUCGUCGAGUCAAUGCCUAACUGGACGAGUAGAGACGGGUUUAUGGUCAGACAAAGGGAUAGGGACUCGGCGAGUUGGCAGGCCAACUCGGCGAGUCGGGUUAACUGGAAGUUGACUUUGACUUUGACUCUUGGCUUGGUUAGGGGUAAAUGGUCAUUUUACCCUGAGGUCGAUUAGCAGUAUUUGACUGAGUGUUUUGUGGGGUUUUAACCGGAGGACUUCCGGGGCAGCAGCAACAGAAAACAGUCAGUUCCCACGCAGAUCAGCAACUACUUUGAGGUGAGUUACCUUCCAGUAGCGGUGGGGGAACUCACUAAGCUUCGUGCUUACAGUUUUCAGUUUUGGUUUCAGGUACCUUUUCUUCGAAGGGGAAGGAGCCGACAUGGUAGCGACACAUCACACACACGCUUUGUAUUCCGCACUAUGAGAUCUUCCUGGGGAUUUGUACUAUGACAGUAUUAUGUUUUAUAAAAUGGUUUCCAGACACGCAACAUCUUUUAUGAAAUGAUAUGAUCUGUGAAUGUUUUAUUUCUAAUGUUUUGCAAAUUGUAUGUUUGAAAAAUGAAAUUUUUGGCUCAUAUUUUUGGAACGUUACACAUCCACAGUCGGUCAUAUGUUGGAAGUAGAUAUGAAUCAAGACUGUCAUGGGCUGGCUUGUAGAGGUCUAAGAUGUUGGACAAAGUGGUGCUACAACACUCAUGAGUGCUCAUAAGUUCUGAGUAUUGGAUUCAAUCCACGCUCAUUGGAAUCACUUCAUGGAUUUUAUCACAAGUGAUUAUGAGACGAUAAUAUCUUAUAUUCUUGAAACAUAGAGCUAUGAGUUGUUACUAUGAGUUGGUUGUACAUUGAUUGCACGAAAACCGCAUUGGUAACUCGAUGUUAUAAAACGUGCCUUUGUGUAUGAUUCAACAUGUCACACCCCCAAACCAGAACGGCGGAAUCGUUUGGGGGCGGAGGACAUCAUAUUCAGUAUCAUAACAGUUCAUAGAAAGGAAAGUACACACCACCAUAAUAUAAAUAUGUUUGAAAAGUUUACAUGAUUGUAGGUGUUACAUGUUUGCAAAAGAAAUCAAAUAUAAAAUGGUGAUCCAAAAUAUGUUACUAACGCCAAUGCGUUAGUCUUCAGAAGUAGUUGCUACCUGGCUAGCGGUUUCCUGUGAAUACAAGUUAUUUCAAAGAAAAAGUGUCAACAUUUAAGUUGGUGAGUUCAUAAGUAGUGUUUUGAGAAGAUGUAUGCCAUUCGAAAGUGUUUGCAUGUUUUCCAGAAAAACCCUUAUUUUCUUAUAAAAGUAUGCAAUGCAUAUGAAUGUUCGUGAUGUAAAUUGCAACUAAUUGUACCGAGAAAAUCCCUUAUUUUCCUAUUAGUUGUUUGGUUUGUAUACAGGAAAAACCCUUAUUUCCCUGACAUAACUGGCAGUCUCUAAGACCGAAAAUCGCAAGCAAGCGACGUGCUUGUAAGUUGUGUCAUAGUUUUACAUAGUAAAGCUAUACGAAGAUCGCACUUAUUAGAUGAAGAAUAGUUUUAAUGACUACUCGUUCAUAAAAGCAUAAUACCAUAAUAAUUGUAUAUCCGAUGAGUUUUAUAACCAUACUAAACAUAAUAUGCCUGUAGCGACGUUCUUCAGGCGUCGUAGCGUUAUGACAACUGUCACCCCAAAAGACGGACUGUAGCUAACAGUCAGGGCGCGGGAUCAUGACUUCCCGUAUAGAUCUAUACACAUUUGACACGUUCUCCGAACGGGAGACUCUGGUUAUAGACAGGACUUGUAGCAUUAUUUUCUAAUAAAGAAAGUAACGUUUGAAGAUAUACACGACUCAUGGAUUCUCAACUAAGUCUGUAAUAAGGUAGUAGUUUGUAUGCAAAGUUUAACCUCUUUCACAAUGUUUGACAAAGCAUAAUCAUAAGUUCUUUGAAUGCAUGAAAUGACUUAGUAAAGAAUGUUACCCUUGAUAUGAUGUGUUUGUAUGUAAACGUAUAAAUAAAACAUAUUUCUAUUUAUAAACAUAUUAUAUCCCAAAGAGGGUAAAGCUGUGUUGUGAGGGGUUUUGUAUCAUAAUAACUUCACAAGAUAGUUAAAACAACAGUAUGAAAAGUAUAUCAAAAGGUUAAUGUUUCACACGAAUUUAGUCAUGUGUUAACUUGUAUUCCUCCCCAAAAAGAGUAUAAAACAUUUAAAAUGUAUUUAAAGAGUGUUCAAAGGGGAUAUGAACUCACUUGAUAGUUUGAAGAUUGUGAGGUGGAAAACCGAGCAGAGUUUCGUCUCGGGAAACUGAUUUUUCUUGGGAUUCUCGGGAAUCUCGGGAGUAGAAUCGGCCUUCGGGACUUGAGCCAAAAAGACCAGAGCUUCGGGUUUGAACGGACACGGAAAACGAGGAAAUGCUGAGAGAGAGAGAAGAGAAAUGAACCCUUUCUUUGGAAACCCUCGCAUUCUAUUUAUAGGAAGGCAAGUCUGCCUCGGUACGCGGGGCGUACGCUCGUACGCGCUGCGUACGCGUACGUCAUGCAUGACCGAAGCCUCGACUGCCUCGGUUCGGAUGGGACGGGUUCUUGGGUUAUCGGGUCGGAUGGGACGGGUUGCUGGGGAGGUGGGUCGGAUGGGACGCCGGGUCGGAUGGGACGUCGGGUCGGACGGGUCGGACGGGUCGGCUUCCUCGGAUAUGGCGACGUGGACGAUCCGAGGCCAAUCCUCUCGGUUACGCGGGGCGUACAGGAGUACGCAGCGCGUACUUCGGAGAAGGACGCUGACUCCUCUUCGGAUAAUAUCCGAAUUUUGAAUUAAAUAAAUAAUUAAUUUAUUUAAUAAACUUCAAAAAUCCAUAUCUUCUUCAUACGAACUCCGUUUUCGAUGGUCUUUAUAUCCACGCGUAGGUGAGACUACGAUCUACAACUUUCGUUUAGACUCCGUUGGCAAAUUCCAAAAUUAUUUUUAUUAUUUAUUUUAUAACUAAUCGUUUUUAAGGAAUUUCUUUGAAAAAUCAUAACUUCCUCAUGCGAAGUCAGAUUUGGACGUUCUUUUUGUGUACGCUCACGGUUUAAUGUUAUCUAUGACUUUCAUUUAGAUACCUAAGGCUAAAUGUUAUCGUAUUGAAACUUUGCGUUUUUCGUUUGAUCGGUGUUGUCGGUUUUGACAGAAAUCUUAGAAUGGUCAUAGCUUCUUCGCCAUAACUCAGAUUUUAGUGUUUCUUUAUUUAUUUGGAACCUUUAAGACGAUAUCUACUACAUAGCGUACUCCAAAUCAGAGCUUUUGAACAAUUCAUUUAUCGAUGAUAUUCCCAUUACAUUCAAAAGGGGUUACAAGACUCGGUUUAUAAUGCCCGGGAUAACGGGUUGUUACAUCAUCCCCCCGUUAAACGGAAUUUCGUCCCGAAAUUUAAUACAAGGUAAGAGUUUUAGGGGCUGAGGAAGAGAUGCGGAUACUUCUGUAGCAUUUGGUCUUCCCGUUCCCAUGUGAAUUCGGGUCCUCUCUUAGCAUUCCAUCGAACUUUUACUAUUGGAAUGCGACUCUGCUUGGUCCUUUUAACUUCCCUAUCCAUGAUCUCGACGGGUUCUUCCACAAAGUUGAGAUUUUCGUUUAACGCGAUUUCAUCGAGUGGAAUUACAAGUGUUUCGUCGGACAAACACUUUUUCAGGUUCGACACGUGGAAUACUGGAUGCACUUUGUUAAGCUCGAUUGGAAGUUGGAGUUUGUAGGCCACUGGACCAACUCUCGAAAUGAUUUCGAAGGGUCCAAUGUACCUGGGAUUUAGCUUUCCACGCUUCCCAAAGCGUAUCAUGCCUUUCCAGGGUGAGACCUUCAGUAGCACACGGUCGCCAAUCUGGAAUUCCAAGGGUUUACGUCUCCUGUCGGCAUAGCUCUUUUGCCUAUCCCUUGAGGACUUCAGUCGUUCUCGUAUUUGCACGAUCUUUUCGGUAGUUUCUCUGAUGAUCUCUGGACCAGUAAGGGUGCUUUUAGUGACUAGACCUUUUGCCAAUUGGGUGUCGCCCACUUCCGUCCAGCACAGGGGUGAUCUGCACUUACGGCCGUAAAGGGCUUCGAACGGAGCGGUCUUGAUACUAGUAUGAUAACUAUUGUUAUAAGAGAACUCGACCAAAGGCAAGUGAAUAUCCCAUGCCUUGCCAAAGUCGAUUACACAUGCUCGCAACAUGUCUUCCAAGGUUUGGAUCGUCCUCUCACUCUGUCCGUCAGUUUGAGGGUGGUAUGCUGUACUCAUGUCCAACCUUGUUCCCAUGGAUUUUUGCAGUGAUUGCCAAAAUCUGGAAGUGAACCUGCUGUCUCUAUCUGAGAUGAUGGACAUUGGUACUCCAUGAAGUCGUACGAUCUCCCGGAUGUAGGUUCUUGAUAGUUUUUCCAUCCUAUCGGUUUCCUUGAUAGGUAAGAAAUGGGCUGACUUGGUUAAUCUGUCGACGAUUACCCAAAUAGUAUCUUGGCCACUCUGAGUUUUGGGCAGUUUGGUUAUGAAGUCCAUGGAAAUCUGCUCCCAUUUCCACUCAGGUAUUUCAGGUUGUUGGAGUAGGCCUGAGGGUUUUUGGUGUUCUAUUUUUAUUUUGGCGCAAGUUAAACACUUGCCCACAUACGUAGCGAUCUCCGCUUUCAUGUUUGGCCACCAGUAGAGUUGCUUGAGAUCUAGAUACAUCUUGUCUGACCCUGGGUGUACGGAGUAUGGGGUCCUGUGUGCCUCGCUCAUAACUACCUCUCUGAAUCCCCCAAACUUUGGUGUCCAGAUCCGGUUCAUGAGGUAGCGUGCUCCGUCACUCUUGAUUUCUAAGUUCUUGUCCAUUCCCCUAAGGGCCUCACCUGCCACGUUUUCGGGUUUCAAGGCCUCUAAUUGAGCUUCCUUGACUUGCGUUGAUAGGUGCGAAUGGAUCGACAUAGCUAAUGACUUCACUCUCCGGCCUGAGUACUCCUUUCGACUAAGGGCAUCGGCUACGACGUUUGCCUUUCCCGGAUGAUAGCGAAUAUCGCAUUCGUAAUCACUGAGUAGCUCGACCCAUCGCCGUUGUCUCAUGUUGAGCUCCUUCUGAUCGAAAAUGUGUUGUAAGCUCUUGUGGUCGGUAAAGAUAGUGCUCUUCGUUCCAUACAAGUAAUGUCUCCAGAUCUUCAGGGCAAACACUACUGCUCCUAGCUCAAGAUCGUGGGUCGUGUAGUUAACCUCAUGUGUUUUCAACUGUCUCGAGGCGUAGGCGAUGACCUUACCUCGCUGCAUCAGAACACAUCCGAGUCCUUGGUUUGAUGCAUCGCAAUAAACUACGAAGUCUUCUAUUCCUUCGGGAAGGGAUAGUAUUGGUGCGGUGCACAAGGCUCGUUUGAGCGUUUGGAACGCUCUUUCUUGUUUCUCUUCCCAGUCAAAGGCCACACCUUUCUGGGUUAGGGUUGUAAGAGGCUUCGCUAUUCGUGAGAAGUUCUGAAUGAACCUGCGGUAGUAGCCAGCGAGACCUAGAAAUUGGCGAAUUUCUGUAGGAGUCUUCGGUGCUGACCAGUUCUCAAUGGCCUUAAUUUUGGAUGGGUCCACGUGGAUUCCCUCUUCGCUUACCACGUGUCCUAAGAAUUCGACUCUUCGGAUCCAAAAUUCACAUUUCGAGAACUUCGCAUAAAGUUUCUCUUUUCGUAAUAUCCCUAGAACUUGUCGCAGAUGAUCGCCAUGUUCUUUCUUACUUCGGGAGUAGAUCAGGAUGUCGUCAAUGAAAACGAUGACGAACUGAUCCAAGUAAGGUCGGCAUACUCUAUUCAUCAGAUCCAUGAAGACUGCGGGCGCAUUGGUCAAUCCGAAUGGCAUCACCACGAACUCGUAAUGUCCGUAACGAGUUCGGAAGGCGGUCUUCGGCACAUCCUCCUCUAGCACUCGUAACUGGUGAUACCCGGAUCUCAGAUCAAUCUUAGAAAAAUAGUUCGCCCCUUGCAGUUGGUCGAAUAGAUCAUCUAUGCGCGGUAGAGGAUAACGAUUCUUGACCGUCAGUUUGUUGAGUUCUCUGUAGUCGAUGCACAUUCUGAACGAUCCAUCUUUCUUUUUCACAAACAACACGGGUGCUCCCCAUGGUGAGAAGCUCGGUCUGAUGAAUCCUUUUCCCAGUAGUUCAUUCAGUUGACUGGAUAGCUCCUGCAUCUCUGCCGGGGCUAAUCGAUAGGGUGCUUUGGCUACUGGGGUAGCUCCGGGAAUCAGAUCGAUUCUGAAUUCGACUUGUCUUACGGGUGGUAUCCCUGGAAGGUCCUCGGGAAACACAUCGGGAAAAUCGCAUACGUCGGGCACAUCCUUGAUGUCCCGGACUUCGCGUUUCACGUCUACAACAUGUGCAAGAAAUGCGUGACACUCCUUUCGUAAGUGCUUCUGAGCUUGGAUACUUGAGAUGAUUCUAAGAGUGGUACUAGGUUUGUCGCCCAAGACAAGGAAGGUUUCGCCGGUUGGCAGAUUAAGGCGAACGGCCUUAUCGUAACAUAGAAUGUCCGCACGAUGUGAACUCAGCCAAUCCAUGCCAAUGAUGACAUCGAAACUCUUAAUCGAGACUGGCAUGAGGUUGAUUUGAAAGGGAUUAUCGUUUAGAGUUAGGGUGCAGUUUAAGUAUAUCUCUUUAGUGCCUUCAGUUUUCCCGUUGGCCAUUUCUACUAUGAACGGUUCACUUAAUGAUUGUGGUAUUGGUUUUAGCAUGCUUUUAAAGUCGUGACUCACAAAACUCCUUUCCGCUCCACUAUCAAACAAAAUGCAUGCAUACGAGUUAUCGAGAAGAAACGUACCCGUAACAACAGUAGGGUCCGCAAUGGCUUCAUCUUGUCCCAUUGCGAAAACUCGGCCUCUUCCGCCGGUAUUCCUGUUGUUUGCCUUCGGGCAGUCCUUGCGGUAGUGCCCUGUGCUCCCGCACUCAAAGCAAGCGCGGCUUACUCCGGUAUUAGCAGUGGGGGCGGAUUGUUGGGUUGGCUCCUUGCAAUAGCGGGCUGUAUGACCCUUCUUAUUGCACCUGGUGCAUUGAAGGCCAUGACAGAGACCGUGAUGGUGGAAGUUGCACUGGUUACAUUUCGGUAGCUUUCCAUUGUAUGAACUUGUGGGGGCAGAGUUGGUAGGUACAGUAAUAGCGUGGGUCGCUAUCACUUGUUGUUUCUUGGGGUUCUCCUGGAGGAUUUGUCCCCUCCUCUUGUUCCAAGGCCUACUCUGUCCCUGAGCCUCCCUAGGUGGAUUUGCGGCUGUUGUGAUGGUACUCUGUUUCGCUCCGUGAUCGAUGAGUCGUUGCGCCAGGCGUUUAGCGCUGUUGUAGGUGAUAGGGUUGGAGGCUAGGACAUGCCCUUGAAUCUGGGGUGACAACCCCCAAAUGUACCUUUCGACCUUCUUUGAUUCUGGGUUGACCAUGGUAGGGCACAAAGCAGCGAGAUCGUUGAACCUAGCUGUGUAAGCGACUAGGUCAGACCCGACCAUUUUCAAAUUCCAGAGUUCCUGCUCAAGCUUUUGCACUUCACCCCUUGGGCAGUAUUCUUCCAGUAGUAGUACCUUCAGUUCUUCCCAACUCAUGGCGUUAGCGACAGUGAGCGUCACUGAGUUCACAUGGCUUUUCCACCAAGUGAGGGCUCGAUCUAUGAAGGUGCAAGCAGCGAACUUAACCUUGCUUGUUUCUUGGCACGAGCAGAUCUCGAAGACCGUUUCGGUCUUUUCGAACCAUUGCAUUAGUGCAAUGACUCCUCCUGUUCCAUUAAAAGUUUUUGGUUUAGCGUUAGAGAACUCCUUGUAGGUACAUUCUCUUCCUUGGCCAUGACCAGUGCCAUGAUUUGGAUGAUUCGUGCUGCUUCCCGCCCCUCCAUUCCCUUGAGAGUUUAUUUGCGAGAGGGCUGCGGUUACCGCUGCUGUGAUAGCAGCCUGAACCAUGGCCGGAUCAUAAGCUGGUGGUGGAGGUGGUGGUGGUGCCGUGCCCGGCCUGGGCCUUAAGUUUGGACGAGGAGGCAUCUUGCUGCCAAAAGAAAAAUAUGGAAGAAAAUUAUAAGUUUUGGCAGUUCAAAGUUGAAUGAUAUUGAGUUAACUGCCUUAAAUAGAUUAAGAAUUUGGUUUGAUCAACAAUGGGUUUUGAGCUUGAUUUAUUAAUAACGUUUGAAUGGAUGCACUUAUGAGUUGAACGGAAUACACAUAUUUAAAAUCAGAGAAGGGGGGGAUGCCCCAUAUAUAUAAAACAUAUAGUCGUGUUACAUCCGAGUUUAGACAAAACUUUUUGACCUUUCUAAAGGUCUCCGAUUACAGAAAGUUUUAACGAAAAGGAAAUUCUUAUCCGAAGUCCUAAUUUAUAACAAAAUUUGAAAUCCUGGCAGGCACUACUUGCGACGUAGGUUGCGCUUGGAGCUUGACUCCGCAUCUGAUUGCUUCGAUUCCAUUAGGCGUCGAUCAAAAGCGGCUUGUUGCUCCCUUAACUCGGCUAGGGCUGCAAUUAUCUGUGCCUGAAAUGCCUCAGACUGGAGUUGGACAUUAUCUUGUAUCUUGUCCAGUCUACGGAUAUCGGAAGUGUGAACCUGCACUUCCACGUUGAUAUCCCGGAGUCGGCUUGCUUGUACUCCGGACUGAUAGGACUGAUUGGCUAACUUACCAACCAUUACCGGGAGUGCUCGAUCAGCCGAACUGCCACCGCGGACAUCGUAGAAGUCCCGACACAUGCCGUAGGGAGGGCGUAUGCCUUGUUGUUGGCUCCAAUGAUGUAGGUGACUUCCCCAGACGGGAGUGGGUCCUUGGAAGUUCCUCACAUGGACAGGAGGUUGAAUGGGUGGUGGAUCGAUCACUUCAGGUUCUGAGUCAGUACCGGAGUCAUCACCCAAUUCUAUGGGUUCCUCAUCCUCUUCUGGAUCAUCUUCGAUCCAUCCUCCGUUGCCUUGGUUGGGAAAGUAGGGGUCAUUGGGGUGGUGAAAUCCAGCCAUUUGACUGUACGAGAAAUAGGGUCAUAAGAAUUGAAUAAAGUCGGAACAUGCAAAACAUGUAAGUUAGUUUAAAUAGCAAUUACUCCUAUAGCAUUUAAAUUAUUGUGUUUGAUUCUAAUAACGGUUUGGUAAGUUUUUAAAAUUUGUUGUCCACUGCAGACACCCCUCGGCACACGUUAGUCGGCUCUCGGACAAAUAUAGUUGAUCAGGCUAUAUCCUUCCCAGUUCCGAUUACAUGUCCCAAGGCGUACCUGUACUGCACAACUCAUUAAUAAUACUUCUAAUAUGGUACGAUGUGGAACUGUUAUUUAUUACUAAAUGAAUGCAUGCUUACUUACAAAAACUAAAUAGAUUUAAUUUCAAAAGCAUGACUCUUCUCAGAGUGUUUUUGCCCAGUUGAGUUUAUAGUUGUAUAAAAAAAAAGGUUUUGAUAUACUUAAUUCACUAUAAACGAAGCUCUGAUACCAAUCUGUCACACCCCCAAACCAGAACGGCGGAAUCGUUCGGGGGCGGAGGACGUCAUAUUCAGUAUCAUAACAGUUCAUAGAAAGGAAAGUACACACCACCAUAAUAUAAAUAUGUUUGAAAAGUUUACAUGAUUGUAGGUGUUACAUGUUUGCAAAAGAAAUCAAAUAUAAAAUGGUGAUCCAAAAUAUGUUACUAACGCCAAUGCGUUAGUCUUCAGAAGUAGUUGCUACCUGGCUAGCGGUUUCCUGUGAAUACAAGUUAUUUCAAAGAAAAAGUGUCAACAUUUAAGUUGGUGAGUUCAUAAGUAGUGUUUUGAGAAGAUGUAUGCCAUUCGAAAGUGUUUGCAUGUUUUCCAGAAAAACCCUUAUUUUCUUAUAAAAGUAUGCAAUGCAUAUGAAUGUUCGUGAUGUAAAUUGCAACUAAUUGUACCGAGAAAAUCCCUUAUUUUCCUAUUAGUUGUUUGGUUUGUAUACAGGAAAAACCCUUAUUUCCCUGACAUAACUGGCAGUCUCUAAGACCGAAAAUCGCAAGCAAGCGACGUGCUUGUAAGUUGUGUCAUAGUUUUACAUAGUAAAGCUAUACGAAGAUCGCACUUAUUAGAUGAAGAAUAGUUUUAAUGACUACUCGUUCAUAAAAGCAUAAUACCAUAAUAAUUGUAUAUCCGAUGAGUUUUAUAACCAUACUAAACAUAAUAUGCCUGUAGCGACGUUCUUCAGGCGUCGUAGCGUUAUGACAACUGUCACCCCAAAAGACGGACUGUAGCUAACAGUCAGGGCGCGGGAUCAUGACUUCCCGUAUAGAUCUAUACACAUUUGACACGUUCUCCGAACGGGAGACUCUGGUUAUAGACAGGACUUGUAGCAUUAUUUUCUAAUAAAGAAAGUAACGUUUGAAGAUAUACACGACUCAUGGAUUCUCAACUAAGUCCGUAAUAAGGUAGUAGUUUGUAUGCAAAGUUUAACCUCUUUCACAAUGUUUGACAAAGCAUAAUCAUAAGUUCUUUGAAUGCAUGAAAUGACUUAGUAAAGAAUGUUACCCUUGAUAUGAUGUGUUUGUAUGUAAACGUAUAAAUAAAACAUAUUUCUAUUUAUAAACAUAUUAUAUCCCAAAGAGGGUAAAGCUGUGUUGUGAGGGGUUUUGUAUCAUAAUAACUUCACAAGAUAGUUAAAACAACAGUAUGAAAAGUAUAUCAAAAGGUUAAUGUUUCACACGAAUUUAGUCAUGUGUUAACUUGUAUUCCUCCCCAAAAAGAGUAUAAAACAUUUAAAAUGUAUUUAAAGAGUGUUCAAAGGGGAUAUGAACUCACUUGAUAGUUUGAAGAUUGUGAGGUGGAAAACCGAGCAGAGUUUCGUCUCGGGAAACUGAUUUUUCUUGGGAUUCUCGGGAAUCUCGGGAGUAGAAUCGGCCUUCGGGACUUGAGCCAAAAAGACCAGAGCUUCGGGUUUGAACGGACACGGAAAACGAGGAAAUGCUGAGAGAGAGAGAAGAGAAAUGAACCCUUUCUUUGGAAACCCUCGCAUUCUAUUUAUAGGAAGGCAAGUCUGCCUCGGUACGCGGGGCGUACGCUCGUACGCGCUGCGUACGCGUACGUCAUGCAUGACCGAAGCCUCGACUGCCUCGGUUCGGAUGGGACGGGUUCUUGGGUUAUCGGGUCGGAUGGGACGGGUUGCUGGGGAGGUGGGUCGGAUGGGACGCCGGGUCGGAUGGGACGUCGGGUCGGACGGGUCGGACGGGUCGGCUUCCUCGGAUAUGGCGACGUGGACGAUCCGAGGCCAAUCCUCUCGGUUACGCGGGGCGUACAGGAGUACGCAGCGCGUACUUCGGAGAAGGACGCUGACUCCUCUUCGGAUAAUAUCCGAAUUUUGAAUUAAAUAAUUAAUUAAUUUAUUUAAUAAACUUCAAAAAUCCAUAUCUUCUUCAUACGAACUCCGUUUUCGAUGGUCUUUAUAUCCACGCGUAGGUGAGACUACGAUCUACAACUUUCGUUUAGACUCCAUUGGCAAAUUCCAAAAUUAUUUUUAUUAUUUAUUUUAUAACUAAUCGCUUUUAAGGAAUUUCUUUGAAAAAUCAUAACUUCCUUAUGCGAAGUCAGAUUUGGACGUUCUUUUUGUGUACGCUCACGGUUUAAUGUUAUCUACGACUUUCAUUUAUCGAUGAUAUUCCCAUUACAUUCAAAAGGGGUUACAAGACUCGGUUUAUAAUGCCCGGGAUAACGGGUUGUUACACAACAAGUAGUAGAACAAGCCAUAUGAGUCGAAGUUUAUCCAUUCCUUUUACCUUCGUGAUAGAAGCGAUAUCUAUGGGCCCCUCGAUGAUUUAAUGAUGAUACAUGUGAGUGCUUGGCCAGGACAAGAUUAAUGUGAUUUGUUCAAUUAGUCAGUCGUUAUAAAUCGGAAAUUGGGAAACAACAACGGACAGAGAGAAUGAUUUAUAAUCCAUGUCUCAGUCUAUAUGAUAUCUAGAAUGGAGGAAUAUAUGAUCCUUUAUAUAAUGGACAAGUCAUUGACAAAUGUAAGAGUUCAUCGACAAGUUUAGAGUUCGACAGCGGAUUUUUAGAGCUACGAUUGCCAGUUGGUUCUUGAAUUCAUACGCAAUAAUAAUUUUAGACUUAUCCAAGUGGAAUACUGUUGGAUUAGUGUCUACAUCCAUAACUACAAUUUGUAUGUACUUGACCCGACUCGGCAUGGUCCAUUUGGGUUACAUGGUAUCAGAACAUUUGGAUAGACCAUUUCUGAGAAGAGGACAUUUGUGACAUAUUAAUAUAUUAUAAGUUCUAAUAUAUUAAUAUGAAAUCAUGUUAUUUAAUUACUAUUGAUCAAGAAUAAAUUUGGACUUAAUUUAGUGAUCAAAAGAAACUAAUUAAAUAUAUAGGGAUUGAUUAUGUAAAUCAUUCAUUCUUAUAUAUGUGGGCUUAUGAUCCAAGAUUCCUUAUGUGGGUUUAACCCAUGUGGUGAUCCAUGGAUACUCCAUGGAGGUUAAAACCCAUGGAGCAUAAGGAAUGGGUAAAGUCAUGAGUUACAUGGUGUAACCCUAAUAGACACACUAUAUAAAGACCCCAUUGGUUGGUGAAAUUGGCACUAGUGUAUACACAAUAGGGCAAGCCGAUUUCUAGAGUUCAUGUGUCUUCUUCUCAUGGCUAUUCCAUCUGUUGGUGAUGUUGUGUGAACCAUUUGAGGUGUCACAUUUGGGGAACUAGGCUUUCGAGCUUUAUGGAGUCAAGCUACAUCAACAAGGUAUGUAUUCUAUCCAUUUUAUUACCCAAGUAUCAAAAGAUUGUAUGCUAGUUAGGGUAAUACCUUGGAAUAUUCAUAUUUGGAUGUAUAAUUGAGAAAACAUAGAUCCAAGGUAUUUAGGGUUGCAUGUACACAUAGGAAUGUUAGAAUGCUCAAAACCCAUCAAAAUCCACAACCUAUGUCAAGCACCCAAGAGUUAGAAUGUGAUGAGUUUUUAGAUAGAAUAGUAUAAAUAAAUGCAUGGGUGGGUUUAACCUUCCCAUAUUUAACAUCCUGCAAGUAUUUGAAGCAGCUUCGCUUCAAGUGCCCUUUCUCGUGAUAGUAGAAACACUCUACUUCAUUAGGAAUGGAAAUGGGAGCAACAGAACCAGCCUUGGUCCCACUUAAAGAGGAUCUAUCAAUAGACUUUUCCUUACAGCUAUUUGUGGGAGCCUUCCUCUUCUUCCCUUUCCCUUGUCCUAUUACCAGAACAGGGGCAGUAGUAGGAGUAGUAACAGCCAAUUUACCUUUGAGACCACUUUCGGCAGUCCUCAAAAGCCCUUGAAGUUUGCUAAUUGUGACCUCCUCCUUACUCAUAUGAUAGGUCAUCGGGAACUGAUCAUACACGGAGGUAAGGAGUGUAGAAUGAUAUAUAUAUAUAUANNNNNNNNNNNNNNNNNNNNNNNNNNNNNNNNNNNNNNNNNNNNNNNNNNNNNNNNNNNNNNNNNNNNNNNNNNNNNNNNNNNNNNNNNNNNNNNNNNNNNNNNNNNNNNNNNNNNNNNNNNNNNNNNNNNNNNNNNNAUAUAUAUAUAUAUAUAUAUAUAUAGCCAGCUCCUCAGGGAAGUUCACAUUCAACUUUAGCAAUCGGUCCACAAACUUUUGAAUUUUAUGAAAGUGGCCCGUGAUGGGUUCACCAUCCUUCAUCCUGGUUGUUAUCAUGGAAGAGAUUAUUUCAUACCUCUCUUGAUGAGCACUUAGAUGGUAUCUUUCCAUCAGUUCCUGGUGCAUCUCAAAAGGGUAGAAUUCCUCAUAGUACUUUUGGACUUCAGCUGACAUAGUGGCAAGCAUGAUAGAAGCUACCAUGGUGGCAUCCUUCUCAUGUGGCCUAAACUCAACAAUCUCCUCAGGAGUAGAAGAAGAAUCAUCAAUUUCCUUUAGCUCCUUGUCGAGGACAUAUUCCUUGUCCUCAUAGCAAGUGACCAUCCUAAUGUUCCUAAUCCAAUCAUUGAUGUUGGAACCAUCGAAGAUGACUCUCCCACAAAGGUUCAUGAGAGAGAAGGAGCCAGUAGGGUAUGAGCCGUAAUAAAACACCCAAAUGAAAUAUUAAGGCUAGGACCCAACACAAUAUUUUAGAAUUUGGAAGAGGGAUGUCGUAAUCCAACUUGCAAAAUAUUUGAAGCUAGAUAAAUGACGAUUUACCAAUUUCCACCUUGAAAAACGAAAUUCUUAUUAGGUUUUAAUUGGAUUGAAACUCCUAGAUCUUUUGAGAUUCAUUGAACAAUUUAAUGGCAUGUUUAAAUCUCAAUUAUGCCCUUCAGGUUUUUGACUGGGAUACCGAGGAUCACAAACUAGGUGUGAAUAACCAUGCAAAAUGUGCUUGGUACUCCCGACUUUAUCGCCCAAUCAAUGUGUCGGUUAACCACACACGCUCCAUUGAUCUUAUGAAAAACAUCGAGCCACCCUUUGCCACCCUUACUAGUCCAAGUUAAUGUGUCGGUUAACCACACACACUCUAUCAACGACUUGGUAAGGUGCAAAGUGUAAUUUUCAUGGAUUAACAUCAAUUUUGCACUUUCCUAAAGUAACUAAUACUGGGAAUUUAAUGAAAACAUUUAGUUACUUUAUUAUCAUUAUACUUAAUGAGAAUUAGUCCUAUCCUACCCGUUCGGCUAACGACACUCCACCAGUCAAGGAAGCAGUGGGUGAGAGUUGACACCCAUUAAAUUGCCAUUUUAUAGGCAGUAACCUUAUACCCCCUUAUAUACCGGCUUCGUGAAUGAGGCCUACUAACAGUAAGANNNNNNUAUAUAUAUAUAUAUUAUUAACUUGUAAUACUAUAAUAGUAUAAGGGUUGGAUUUUAACUUUUAAAAUUCUAAGGUUUGGAAUUAAUGUUUCAUUUAGUGAGACUUUACAAAUUCCAAAACUUGUGGGCAAGUUUUGACACUUUUCAAAACACUUGAAGUUCAUAACAUAUGAGUUUAAUGACAUCUUAAAUAGAAAAACCUUUCAUGUUCCAUAACAUCUAUAACUUGAGGACAAGUUAUGGAAUCAAUUAAAAAAGAUUUAAAACAUUAUUUAACUAAUACCAUAAUCAAAUAAUUCAUGGAAGAUUCAACAAAACUCAUAUGAGUAAGAUAAUUCAAAUCAAAAAAAUUUCAUGUAAUUAAUCAUAUAAACUAUUACAAAACAUGAAACUUAUCUUUUUAACUGGACAAGCAUGAACAUUACCCUUUUGAAAAAUAGGUUUCUAGGUUCAAAAAACAGUUUAGGGUAAUGAUCCUCAUCCAAUUGCAAACCAAACUCGAAAAUCUGCUCACAUGUGCAUCACCAUGUCGUGGUAAAAGCUUUCACAUCGUGGUGAGCAGUCAGAUGCAAAAAUGGAAAAAUUUUCAACUUUGGAAAAACAAGUAGCAUUAGGUAUAAUAGAAAGCAAGCAUAGGCUCUGAUACCACUGAAAGGUUUUAAGCAUUCUAACACUCCUAAGGUGUGCAUGCAACCCUAGAAACCUUGGAUCUAUGUUUUCUCUAUUAUAGAUGCAAACUUUCUUUUUCUCCAAGGAUUCAUCCUAACUAGCAUACAAUGAAGUAUAUGUAAUACAAUAAACUAGUAGAAUGACAUACCUUUUCUUAUAGCUUGAUUCAUUUAGACUUUAAGAUCCUAGCACCCCAAUUGUGAUGCCUCAAAUGCUUCACACAACACCACCAACAAUUAGAAUAACUUGAGAGAAGUAUCCUUGCACUCAAAAUUCGGCUAGCCCUCUUUCCUUUCACUUAGGCGCCGAUUUUGGUUGCUAUGGGGUCCUUUACAUAUUGUGACACAAUUAGGGUUACACCACAUCCCUUACACACCAUGGGUUUUAACCUCCAUGGAGUACCCAUGGGACACCACAUGGGUUUAGCCCAAUAUAAAGGAUUAUGGAUCAUAAGCCCACUAUUAAUUAGUCUCUUUUGAUCAUAAAAUUAAUUCCAAACUAAUUCUUGAUCAAUACUAAUUAAAUAAUAUGAUUUCAUAUUAAUAUAUUAGAAAUUAUAAUAUAUUAAUAAAUCAUAAAUAUCCUCUUCUUGAAAGUCCAUCCUUCAGAUUGUUCUGGUGCCAUGCAACCCAAAUGGACCAUGCUACUCUCGGGUCAAGUACAUACCUAUUAUAGAUAUGGGCUUAGACACUAAAUCCAAUAGAAGUUGAAUUUGUUACACAAUGGAAGGUUUCCAACAUAUCGACUGGGAGGUGCUAGUGUAGCAGGAACAACAGCAGGAAUAGUAGCAGCAUGGACUGGCACUGUUUAUUGUUUCUGGGAGGGCUCCUGUGAGGAUUGGCCCUUUCGUUUGUUCCAUAAUUUCUUAUUGUUGUCACUCUCCUUGGGCUGUUCAGGAAUGGCUGUUAGGGAGUCUUGGCGAUCUCUGUGAUCCACUAGUGUCUGUGCCAGACGCUUGGAGUUGUCGAAAGUAAGUGGAUUGGUAACUAUAACAUUUCCUUGAGUCGGGGGAGUUAAUCCCCAAAUGUACUUCUCCAACUUCUUACUCUUCGCGGUGACCAUCCCGUGGCAGAGAUGAGCCAGGUCACUGAAUCUGGCAGUGUAAGAAGCGAUAUCGGAGUUCUUUAUCUUCAGACUCCAAAGAUCCAGCUCUAGUUUUUGCAUCUCGCUCCUCGGUCAAUAUUUUUCUAGCAUUAGUUCCUUCAAAUCAUCCCAACUCAUAGCAUUGGCUAUUGGGAGAGUCAAUGACUUGACUUGGCUGUUCCACCAAGUGAGGGCUCUGUCUGUGAAAGUGCAUGCUACAAAUGUCAUGUUGCUAGUUUCAGGACACACAUAGAUUUUGAAUAUUGAUUCGGUCUUCUCGAACCAACGUGUUAAAGAAAUGACACCUCUGGUGCCAUCGAAGGAUUUGGGUUUAGCAUUCAUGAAAUUCUUAUAAGAACACUCUCUUGGGUGUCCAUGACUAUCUCCAUGGUUAGAUGGGUUGGCACCACUACCCGCCCCACUAGUGCCACUUGCAUUAUAUGUGUUAUGGNGCCACAGCGGCAGUUACUGCUGCGUAGAAGACAGCAGGGUCGUACUGAGGAGGUGGUGGCGGUGGUGGAUUUGUUGACAGGUUUUUUUCUUCCUGUUGGACUUCUUUGGAGGCAUCUUACUCCAUAAUGAUUUAAGAGAAAAUGAUGAUAAGUCCUCUAAAGUGGUCAUGCGUUAGGUGAUAAUGAACAAGAUAUAUCUUAUCCUGACUGUUAUACUGUUCUGUCAAGCGAUUUACAAUGGAAGUCUACUAAUAUAAGUAAACAAUUGCUAACUUCGAUUAUAGCAACACUUGUAAAGAAUUUGUAUAGCGCGACUCACACUGGGUCCCUCUAUAGGCACCUGGUUAUACAAAUUAUGUAUAACUAUCAAGGCCUAAAUGCUCUUGUUCUAGUUUUGUAGAUUCAUAAAAUACUCAUAUAGUAUUUUAAUUUCAUGUUAGGUUCUAAAGUUUCUCUUGUAUGUAUUGUUGCUAAGUUUUAGACUUGUUGCAACACUACUAUCACUCCCAAACACAUGUUGAUCGUGUCUCAAAUAAUAUAGUUGAUCAGGAUAAUAUUAUUCCAGAUAUGAUUGAAGCAUUUGAGGCAUCACAUUUGGGGCGCUUGGCUCCUAAAGGUCCAAGUUAACAAGCUACAAGAAAAGGUAAGUCAUCUAACUAGUUUUUGUUAUUUAAGUACCUAUGAUUUGUAUGCUAGUUAGGACAAUGCUUUGGAAAAUCAAAUUGCAUGUAUGAUUAGAGAAAACAUAGACCCAAAGCAUUUAGGGUUGCAUAUGCACCAUAUGGUUGUUAGAGUGCUCAAAACCCAUCAGUGGUAUCAGAGACUAGGUUUGUUUUUUAUUAUACUUGAUGUUUAUUGGUUUUCAAAGUUGGAAAAAUCAAAUUUCUGCAUUCUGACUGGUGAACUCACCGAGUCCACUAGGUUACUCGACGAGUCCACUCAGAAACAGACCAACUCGACGAGUCUAGUGCAUGUACUCGCCGAGGUGGUGCUCUAGUGUGCGAAAUUUCGAGUUUUGGCCAGAAAUUGGAUUUUGAUCAUUACCCUAAACUGUUUUUUGAACCACGAAAUCUAUUUUUUCAUAAGUUAAUGAUCAUGCUUGUCCAAUUAAAAGAUAAUUGUCAUAAUUUCAAGAUUUGUAUUAGUUUAUAUGUUUAGGCUACUUUCUUGAAGAUUGAUGAUAUGAAUUAUCUUAUUCUUAUGAGUUUAAUUAGAUUAUGUGUGUAUUAUUUGAUUAUUGUGUUAAUGAAAAUAAUGAUCUAAAUGUUUUUAGUGGACUCCAUAACUUGUCCUCAAGUUAUGGAAAACAAAAAGUCUUUUCCUUAAAAGUCAAUAAACUCAUAAGUUAUAGAAAUGUAAAGUUUUGAAUAGUUUCAGAACAUGCCCUCUAGUUUUGUAAUUUAUAAAGUCACACCUAAGAAUACUUUAAUUCCAAACCCUAGAAUUUUAAAAGUUUAAAAUUCAACUCUUAUACUAUUAUAAUAUUAAAAUUUUAAUAAUUAUAUAUNAAGACAAGUCAGUCUUACCAUUAGUAGGCCUCAUUCACAAAGUCAGUGUAUAAGUGGGGUAUAAGGUUACUGCCUAUAAAAUGGUGGUUUAAUGGGUGUCCACUCUCACCCACCGCUUCCUUGACUGGUGGAGGGUCGUUAGCUGAACGGAUAGGAUAGGACACUAAUUCUCAUUAAAAGUAUAAUGAUAAUUAUAAAGUAACAAAAUGUUUUAUCAAAUUUUGAAUCUUAGUUACUUUAGGAAAAUGUGAAAUUGAUGCUAAUCCAUGAAAUUGCACUUUGCACCUUGCCUAGUUGUUAAUGGAGCGUGUAUGGUUAACCGGCACAUUAACUUGGAGUAGUAAGGAUGAGAAAGGGUAGCUUGAUGUUUGUCAUAGAUCGGUGGAGCAUGUGUGGUUAACCGACACAUCGAUUAGGUGAUAAAUGACAUCAAGUGUACCAAGUUAAUUUGGAUGGGUAUUCACACCUUAUUUGUGAUGCUCGGUAUCUCAGUCAAAAACUUGAAAGGCAUAAUCUAGAUUUAAGCAUGCCAUUGAAAAGUUCAAUGAAUCUCAAAAGAAUCUAGGAGUUUCAAUCCAAUUAAAACUUAAUAAUCUAUUUCAUUUUUCAUGUUGGAAAUUGGUAAAUCAUCAUUUAACUACCUUCAAAUAUUUUGCAAGUUGGAUUACGACAUCCCUCUUCCAAAUUGUAAAAUAUUGUGUUGGGUCCUAUCCUUACUAUUUCAUUUUAGGUGUUAUAUUAAGGACUCUUAUCUAAUCUAAACUUUGUCUUUCUCUUCAGAUGUCUUCCAACACUUCUUCUCGCUCAAACCCUACUAGCUCAUUCUCUCUCGUGAACUUGUGUGGGAGAGUCAUCUUUGAUGGAACUAAUUUCAAUGAUUGGAUUAGAAACAUCAGGAUGGUCACUUGCUAUGAGGAUAAGGAAUAUGUCCCAGACAAGGAGCUUAAGGAAAUCGAUGAGUCUUCUGCUACUCCUGAGGAGAUCGCUGAGUUUAGGACUCAUGAGAAGGAUGCAACCAAGGUGUCUUGUAUCAUGUUGGCCACCAUGACAGUUGAACUCCAAAACUCCUAUGAGGACUUCUACUAUUUUGAGAUGCUCCAAGACCUGAUGGAAAGAUACCAUCAGAGUGCUCGUCAAGAGAGCUAUGAAAUCAUCGCCUCCAUGUUAACUACUAAAAUGAAGGAUGGUGAACCCAUAACGGCCCACUUGUAGAAAGUGCAAAGGUUUGUGGACCACUUGCUUCAGUUGAAUGUGAACUUUGAUGAGGAGUUAACCAUAGAUAUCAUUCUACACUCCUUACCUCCAUUUUAUGAUCAGUUUCCGAUCACCUAUCAUAUGAACAAGGUGGAGUUCACUCUUAGGAAGCUUCAGGGCCUUUUGAGGACUACUGAAAGUAGUCUCAAAGGUAAAAAUGGUGUUUCUACUCCUACUGCUAAUAACCCAGUCUUGGCAAUCGGAUAUGCGAAGAGGAAGAAGAGGAAGGCUCCCUUUAAGAACCGCAAGGGAAAGUACCUUGAUGGAUCCUCUUCAAGUGGGACAAAGGCUGGUUCUGUUGCUUCCUCUACCAUUCCUAAGGAAGCAGAGUGUUUCUAUUGUCAUGAGAAAGGGCAUUGGAAGCGAAGCUGCCCCAAAUACUUCCAGGAUGUCAAGGAUAGGAACGUUAAGGCCACCCAUGCAAGUAUUUAUACUAUUCUAGCUAAAAACUCAUCACAUUCUUGUUUUUGGGUCCUUGAUACAGGUUGUGGAUUUCACAUUUGUUCUUGUUGGAUUAGUGUCUAAGUCCAUAACUAUAAUUGGUAUGUACUUGACCCGACCCGACAUGGUCCAUUUCGGUUGCAUGGCAUCGGAACAUUUGGAUAGAACUUUUGUGAGAUGAGGAUAUUUGUAACAUCCAAAUUCCCAGGUAUCUUAUUCUAAGUAUUUUUCUUGAAUUUUAGAGAGGGACUCGGCGAGUAGGCGCUCAGACUCGCCGAGUAGGACCGCGCUUUUCUUGUCUGAUUUAAUGAAGGGCUCGACGAGUCGAUGCAUGGACUCGGCGAGUCCGCGUUGUAAAUUGAAACCUUAAUUCUCGGGGUCUGUGCCCUAUUUAAAGGCCUUUAUAGCCUCCAACUAAGGCCACUUGCACCCCUGAGAAACCCUGUAAAGUAGAGAGAAAGCUUGUAGUGCAAGAAGAGGGCUAAUUCAUCAUUCUAAGUGUAAUUUUCCAUGAAAGAAGGACGGAAGACAAACAAGGAAGAUUGAGGAGCUCAGAUUUAUCACCCAUUUGAUCAGAAGAGGCUGCUAGAGGUACUAAUCUGUGCUCAAUCUCGUGUAUUUGGUGAUCUACUUGAAUCUAGGGUUUUCUUAUGCCUUCUUUGGCUUGGAUUCGAAGUAUGUAAGGUCCCAAGGUGGAGUUACUCUUAGAUCUAGACCUUAUAAGGUCCAUAGGGUCCUAUUUAUCUUGCUUUUUGCUAUUCCAUUAGAGAUAUGACCCUAGGUUGCCAUUCUAGAUGUUAUUUCACCCAAAGAAGCUUUAUAGAUAUUGCAUGAGUGUAAAGGUCGGACCUUUACGUGAUAAUAGUGGCUGGGAAGGCCAGAUCUAUAGGUUAGAGAAGUAGAUCUGACCUCAGAAGGUCAUUUCAGUGUUGCCAUGGAUGCAACUUGCCAAGUCCAUAAUGGGACUCAACGAGUCGUGACUGGUGUAACCUACUGAGUGGGAUGAUGAAUCGACGAGCCAAGAGAGGCUAGAAGGAUUCAGAGAACCCGCAUGGACUCGCCGACUCGCCCAUGUCCACUCGACGAGUCGGUCAAAGUUUGACCGUUGACUUUCGUUGACCUUAGGGUUCUGGUCAAGACUAAUUCAAGAGAGUUCAGAGAAACGUAGAAUGGCCUUCUACCCAAUCUGCAGAGAUGAGGCUAUGAGAGAAUAUUGAUCGUGAAUGUUAUUUGAAUAAUAGGAGGAGGCUAGGUCGGGACGUUGAGCACGAGAGUUAUCCGACUUCAAUGAGGUGAGUCUUCUCGCUAUACUUUACCUGCAAGGGUACCAAUGUGUGACCGGAAGGUCUUAUUGUUGGAUUAAUUUCUAAGUCCAUAACUAUAAUUGGUAAGAGUUGACCCGACCCGGCAUGGUCCAUUUGGGUUGCAUGGCAUCAUGCAUUUGGAUAGACUAUAAUGAGAGAAAUAACACUUAAGGUUGGUUAAUAUAUUAUAAGUUCUAAUAUUUAAAUACGACUUUUUAAUUAGUAUUGAUCAAGAAUUAAUUUGGAAUUAAUUAAGUGAUCAAAAGGAGACUAAUUAAAUAUAUGGGUUGAUUAUGUAAAUCAUUCAUUCUUAUAUAUGUGGGCUUGUGAUCCAAGAUUCCUUAUGUUGGACUAAGUCCAUGGGGUGACCCAUGGAUACUCCAUCGAGGUUAAAAUCCAUGGAGCAUAAGGAAUGGCUAAAGUUAUGAUUUACAUUGUGUAACCCUAAUAGCCACCAUAUAAAAGAAUCCCAUGGCUCAAGAAAUCGGCCACUAUGUGUGUGAGUGAUAGGGCUAGCCGAUUUUUAUGAAGUGUGGAAUUCUCUCAAGUCUUUCCAAGUGCAUAUGAUGUUGUGUGAACCAUUUGAGGUGUCACACUUGGGGCACUAGGCACUCAAGCUUCAUGAAGACAUUCUACAUCAAAGAGGUAUGUAAUUCUAACAUGAUAUAUUCAUAAGAAUCAAUGCUAUUAAGCUAGUUAGGAUGAAUACCUUGGAAAGUUCAUAUUUGCAUGUAUUAUAGAGAAAACUUAGAUCCAAGUUAUUUAGGGUUGCAUGUACACUUAGGAGUGUUAGAAUGCUCAAAACGCAACAGUGGUAUCAGAGCCUAGGCUUGUUUUCUUGUUAUAUUUGCAAAAUUGGCUGAAAAAUCGAGUUUUUAUGCUCCCUGCUGAGCAGACUCGCCGAGUCCACUGAUGGACUCGCCGAGUCCAAGGCAAAAUGCAUCCAACUCGCUGAGUUUCUUCGUGCACUCGACGAGUUGGACCCUCAGACAGCAUAUAUUCGAUUGUUUUGGCUGGAAUUGGACUAGGAACAGUACCCUAAAAUGUUUUUAGACUUAUAAACUUGUUUUUAAUGUGGUAAUGUUCAUGUUAAUUCAAUUUCAAAGAUAAUUGUCAAUAGAUUCAUGUUUUGUAAUAGCUUAGUGAUUAGGCUAAUUACAUGAAAAAGUUUGAUUUGAAUUAUCUUGUUCUUAUGAGUUGCUUAGAUUAAUAGAAAAGUUAAUUGAUUAUGUGUUUUCAAUCCAUUUUAAUCUAAGAGUUGAUUCUAAAAUGUGUUUUUGUAACUUGUCCUCAAGUUAUAUGAAAAGUCACAUUUAAGUUUCAUAAAACUCAUAAAAGUUGGCAAUGGUUACAAAAAAUGAAGAGUCUUGUCCUCAAGUUAUGGAGGUUCAAGAGUCACUUCAUUAAGUAACAAAAUAUGUAACCUUAAUUAAUUCCAUAAGUUACAAAAUAAAGAAAAGCUACAUUCUUUUAUUAGUUUAAAGUGUUCCAUUCCUUGACUGGUGGAGGGUCGUUAGCCGAACGGGUAGGACAAGGACUAUAAUUCUCCCUUCAUUAAAAGUAUUAAUGAUAAAUACUAAGUAACUAAACCUUUUAUAAAUACCCAAUCUUAGUUACUUAGGAAAAAGUGAAUAAGGUGCUAACCCAUGAAAUUACACUUUGCACUUUGCUUAAGUCGUUAGUAGAGCGUGUGUGGUUAACUAGCACAGUAACCUGGACUUAACAAGGUAGGCAAAGGGUAACUUAAUAUUUAUCAUAGUAUUGGUGGAGCGUGUGUGGUUAACCGGCACAUCGAUUAAGGGGUAAAUAUUAAGGGUACCCAGUAUAUUUGCAUGGUUACGUCACACCUUGUUUUGUGAUCCUCGGCAUCCCAGUCACAAAACCUGAAGGGCACACUCGAGAUUGAAACAUGCCAUUGAA